AGAGUUUGAUCCUGGCUCAGGACGAACGCUGGCGGCGUGCCUAAUACAUGCAAGUCGAACGGUCUUUUCUAUGGAAGCUUGCUUCCACUGAGAAGAUAGUGGCGAACGGGUGAGUAACACGUGGGUAACCUGCCCAUAAGAGGGGGAUAACAUCCGGAAACGGGUGCUAAUACCGCAUAGUUUUCUUGGUCGCAUGAUCGAGAAAGGAAAGACGGYCUUUGUGCUGUCGCUUAUGGAUGGACCCGCGGCGUAUUAGUUAGUUGGUGAGGUAAUGGCUCACCAAGACGAWGAUACGUAGCCGACCUGAGAGGGUGAUCGGCCACAUUGGGACUGAGACACGGCCCAAACUYCUACGGGAGGCAGCAGUAGGGAAUCUUCCGCAAUGGACGAAAGUCUGACRGARCAACGCCGCGUGAGUGAAGAAGGUUUUCGGAUCGUAAAACUCUGUUGUCAGAGAAGAACAAGUCGGAGAGUAACUGCUYCGGCCUUGACGGUAUCUGACCAGAAAGCCACGGCUAACUACGUGYCAGCAGGCGCGGUAAUACGUAGUGGCAAGCSGUUGUCCGGAUUUWUUGGGCGUAAAGCGAGCGCAGSGGUUCUUUAGUYUGAUGKUGAAGCCACGGCUCAACCGUGGAAGGUCAUUGGAACUGGGGAACUUGA
rnacentral:rRNA from 1 species